CUGUGUUUGGAAUGCUGAACACGGAACAGGCUGCUUCCAAAUGAAUCACAGAGCUUACACAUCUCUCUGAGGGAUACAAGUAUGGCUGUUAACCUUUUCCAAUCAUGCUGGGCGGUUCCACCACUUCUAGAUUUUAGAGGCUGUGGGGAAUCAAGAUUCUUCCAUCAUGAAGUGUGUCAUAUGCAGUUCUGACCAGCAGGAUGUGGAGUGAUGGGUGUUCAGCUCAGCUGUCAUGGGAUGCCGUAUGACUGAUGGGCCAGCCUGAUGUUUACGCUGUCUUGACCUCUGACCCUGAAGGGUCGAGCUGUUGUACGUCACCCAUCUCUGGCACUUCAGACCAGACCAUCUCUCACUGUCUCCUCGUCUCCACAGCGACCAGACGGCUGUGAGGCCACUGGAUGGAGGGAGUGCAAUGAGCUGUCUUUUUUCUAAUGAAUAGUGCUACUAUUCUGUGAGUGACCUGUCAGAUGUGACAGGCGAGACGUGAGGGAUUGUUCAAAGGCCUGCAAGAGGAGCUGACAGGUCUCCUGAAGAGUGAUGGCUAUUUCCACAUACAGUGUUACUGGCACGAGCGAGGAGAAUGGCAGCCCUCGCAAGUCCACCUCCACUCCUGUCAGCAGGAUAGUUAACACAACACUGAGGGCCAUAAGUCAGAAGCCAAAGGUCAAAGGUCAAGGUGGUCCUGAGGCUCUCUUUUUCUGAAUUUCUAUUUUAUUUGACUUUUUUCCCGUGAAUACUUCACACAUGGUAAUAGUAGAGAGAAAUGGUAAGAAGUAAAUUAUUUUUCAUGCCCCAAGUCAAACCAGAUAUGCUAUUCCAGUCGCUCCACAAAACAGACAUGCUUAUAAUAAAUGACAAAAAUAAAUAGCAAAUGCUAAGGACAGAUAAAUAGGAAAAUGUUGUUGUUGUUAUUAUUAUUAUUAUUAUAAGUUAGUGCUGUCAAAUCAAUUAAUCACAUCCAAAAUAAAAGUUUGUUUACAUAAUAUAUGUGUGUAUAUUUAUAUGUAGCCCUAUAUAUAAAGACAUACAUGUGUAUAUAUGAACACAUGUAAUUGUAUUUGUAAUUGUAUAAUUGUAUAUAAAACAAUUAUAUAUUUGUGUUUUAUAUAAUUAUAUAUUAGUGGUGUCAAAAUUAGCGCGUUAACAAAGGCAAUAAUUUUUUUCAGUAUAACGUGUAAAAAUAUUUAACACAGUUAACGCAGGGGCAGGACCAGGUUUAGCCAACAGUUUUUUUCUUUUGUUUCAGGCGCGUGCUCCAACUUCACCUCAGCGCCAGGCGUGAGUCGCACGAGCAUGGAAAUGGUACUGUGCUUGGAGCGAGUGCUCUUCAACUGCACGCACAAAGGCGCCGGCGCGUGCUGUAGCUUGUAUCAUUUACUACUCGCAUGCAAUGUCAUGGUCAGUCAUGAAGUUACCAAAAAGGCCAUUAACCUUUUAAGACCUGGCAAAACAUUUUAGGAAAAAAAAUAAAUAAUAAUAAUGUAUUUUUUCAUGUCAUUACAUUGUUUAGAGCAUAAAAAAAGAAAUGAAAAGAAAAAAAAAACUGAAAAAACAUAAUCACCAAUACAUUUUUAGUUUUCUGGAUUUUUAUUUUUUACCAAACUUUGUAGAAAGAUAGUUCUCAACUAUGUUAUAACAGAAUGAUUUAAUAUACCAUUUUCUUUAUGAAAAAAUGUGUAUAAAAUGUCCAUAAACAGGUUUUCUCGUUAUAUAUAACGUAUCUUUAAACUAAAUCUAAUUUGCAUAUUAAUGUGUUUUUGGGGCAACAUGUAACGAAAAAAAGAAGUGUAAUAAUGGGAGUAAUAAUUGACCAGAUUUUCAUAAUAAUAUAUACUAUUUCAUAGGAAUAUUAAAAUAUAAUUUCUUUCCCUAUUCAUUUGUUAUUUGUGUGUGUGUGUGUGUGUGUGUGUGUGUCUGUGUGUCUGUGUGUGUGUGUGUGUGUGUGUGUGUGUGUGUGUGUGUGUGUGUGUGUUUAUAUAUAAGCUUAUACACAUAUAUUAUGUAAACACAAACUUUUUGGGGGGAUGUGAUUAAUCACAGUUAAUCGAUUUGAUUAUAGCCCUGUUUUUAUUAUUAUGAUUAUGAUAAUAAUUAUUUCUUGAUUUUUUUUUUCUUUCUGAUAUUUUUGUUUUUGAACAUUUCUGAAAUAUUCAAGACAGAACUAUUCAAAAGCUGUGUGGAUUACUUUGCUUGUACUUCAAAAUUUAUUUUGGUUUGUUUAAUGGGAAUAACAACAUUUUAUCUUACUGUAUUAUUAUUAUUAUUAUUAUUAUUAUUAUUAUUAUUAUUAUUAUUAUUAAUGGUAUCAUUAUCAUUACUCCUAAUUUUGCUGGUUUUGUUCAUCUCCUAAAAUGUAAAGUUUGUGUGUUGUACAUUUCUCGUACUUUCAAUUUCUUUCUUUCUUUCUUUCUUUCAUAAUAAUAAU
ensembl:lncRNA